rnacentral:rRNA from 1 species
GACGAACGCUGGCGGCGUGCUUAACACAUGCAAGUCGAGCGGUAAGGCCCUUUCGGGGGUACACGAGCGGCGAACGGGUGAGUAACACGUGGGUGACCUGCCCUCAGCUCUGGGAUAAGCCCGGGAAACUGGGUCUAAUACCGGAUAUGACUUCAUGACGCAUGUUGUGGAGUGGAAAGCCUUGUGCGGCUGAGGAUGGGCCCGCGGCCUAUCAGCUUGUUGGUGGGGUGANGGCCUACCAAGGCGACGACGGGUAGCCGGCCUGAGAGGGCGACCGGCCACACUGGGACUGAGAUACGGCCCAGACUCCUACGGGAGGCAGCAGUGGGGAAUCUUGCGCAAUGGGCGAAAGCCUGACGCAGCGACGCCGCGUGGAGG